rnacentral:rRNA from 1 species
GACGAACGCUGGCGGCGUGCUUAACACAUGCAAGUCGAACGGAAAGGCCCGGCUUUUGUGGGGUGCUCGAGUGGCGAACGGGGGAGUAACACGUGGGUAACCUGCCCUUGACUUUGGGAUAACUUCAGGAAACUGGGUCUAAUACCGGAUAGGAGUUCCUGCUGCAUGGUGGGGGUUGGAAAGUUUCGGCGGUUGGGGAUGGACUCGCGGCUUAUCAGCUUGUUGGUGGGGUAGUGGCUUACCAAGGCUUUGACGGGUAGCCGGCCUGAGAGGGUGACCGGCCACAUUGGGACUGAGAUACGGCCCAGACUACUACGGGAGGCAGCAGUGGGGAAUAUUGCACAAUGGGCGGAAGCCUGAUGCAGCAACGCCGCGUGCGGGAUGACGGCCUUCGGGUUGUAAACCGAUUUCGCCUGUGACGAAGCGUGAGUGACGGUAAUGGGUAAAGAAGCACCGGCUAACUACGUG